UACAGAGGUCCCAAGCGUUGUUCGGAUUCACUGGGCGUAAAGGGUGCGCAGGUGGGUUGGCAAGUUCGAUGUGAAAGCCCCGGGCUUAACCCGGGAAUGGCAUUGGAUACUGUUGAUCUGGAGGGUCGGAGGGGGGACUGGAAUUCUUGGUGUAGCAGUGAAAUGCGUAGAUAUCAAGAGGAACACCAGUGGCGAAGGCGGCUUCCUGGACCGACACUGACGCUGAGGCGCGAAAGCUAGGGGAGCAAACGGG
rnacentral:rRNA from 1 species